rnacentral:rRNA from 1 species
AAGCAUAGUGAUAUGUGGAGCGGACCAGUACUAAUCGGUCGAGGACUUAACCAC